rnacentral:rRNA from 1 species
CCUACGGGGGGCUGCAGUGGGGAAUAUUGGACAAUGGGGGCAACCCUGAUCCAGCCAUGCCGCGUGUGUGAAGAAGGCCCUCGGGAUGUAAAGCACUUUCAGUGAGGAAGAACGCCUGGUGGUUAAUACCCAUCAGGAAAGACAUCACUCACAGAAGAAGCACCGGCUAACUCCGUGCCAGCAGCCGCGGUAAUACGGAGGGUGCGAGCGUUAAUCGGAAUUACUGGGCGUAAAGCGCGCGUAGGUGGCUUGAUAAGCCGGUUGUGAAAGCCCCGGGCUCAACCUGGGAACGGCAUCCGGAACUGUCAAGCUAGAGUGCAGGAGAGGAAGGUAGAAUUCCCGGUGUAGCGGUGAAAUGCGUAGAGAUCGGGAGGAAUACCAGUGGCGAAGGCGGCCUUCUGGACUGACACUGACACUGAGGUGCGAAAGCGUGGGUAGCAAACAGGAUUAGAUACCCUUGUAGUC